rnacentral:rRNA from 1 species
AUGGACUUUGUGGAGGGCUUGCCGGCAUCCGAAGGGUUCGACUUGAUCAUGGUGGUGGUGGACCGACUCACCAAGUUUGCGCACUUCAUCCCACUUCGGCACCCCUUCAAGGCACCGCAAGUGGCCAAGGUGUUUUGGGAUCACGUCGUCAAGCUCCACGGCAUUCCAAAUUCCAUCGUCUCCGACCGCGACCGUGUCUUCACCAGCGCACUCUGGCGGGAGCUCUUCGCCAGCGCAGGCACAAAAUUGCUCUAUUCUACGGCGUACCACCCCCAGACGGACGGCCAAAGUGAGCGGGUCAACCAGUCCAUGGAGAUGUACCUGCGUUGCGCGGUCCACGACGCGCCUCGUCAAUGGCGCCGCUGGCUACCAACCGCCGAGUUCUGGUACAAUUCUUCCUUCCAUUCGUCCAUCAAGUGUUCUCCCUUCAAGGCACUUUACGGUGUGGAGCCAAACCUGGGCGCGAUGGCGCUCUGGGACGACAAGACGGCGCCGAUCAUCGACGGCGAACCUUGGGACUGGGGCGUGCACACGGCACGUCUGCGCGAGCACAUCCUUCGCGCGCAGCACCGCUUCAAAAAGCAGGCCGACCAACACCGCACCGAGCGCUCCUUUGAAGUGGGCGAUUCCGUCCUCCUGAAGCUUCAGCCCUAUGCCCAAUCAUCGGUGGCCAACAGACCUUGCGCGAAGCUGGCAUACAAGUACUUUGGCCCGUUCACGGUGCUCGCCAAGAUCGGCAACCUGGCGUACAAGCUCGAGCUCCCGACGAAUAGCAAGAUCCACCCCGUCUUCCAUGUGUCCCAGCUCAAGCCGUUCACCCCCAAGUACACUCCGGUCUUCUUCGAGCUGCCACGACCCCCGGACCUCGCCGGCAAUUCUGAUGAGCCGAUGGAGAUCGUGGAACGCCGCAUGGUCAAGCACGGCAACAGCGCUCUCGUGCGGGUCAGAGUUCGCUGGAAGAACGACGCCACGGCCACGACUUGGGAGGACUACGACACUCUCCGCCAUCGCUUUCCGCAAGCUCCAGCAUGGGAUGCACCACCGGCCGGCGACACCGAACAGCAGGCAUCUCCUGAAGACGGCGCUAGUUCUCAAGGGGUGGGGAAUGUCACACCUGCAUCACCAGUGGUGGAUGCGGUGGACGUGUGA